UGAACAUUUGCUAUCUAACUGAGAGUCUCCUCAUUGAAAACAUCUGAAGUUCUUCAAAGGACUCUCCAUUGCUACGAAAUAGCUCUCCAAACUUUUGUUUCCUGGACAAUGACCAGCCCGUCAUGGGAUCCUCAACGGUUCUCUAACCUCCCAGAGACCACAGCAAAAUCAAGCUUCUCAGGAACUACAGACCUUCCACUGUUUUCUAAUAUAUCAUCCAGCUCUCAAUACCACCCCGUGAUAUUCUAUGAUGGGCUCUGUGAAGGAACAGAGCCGCCAGUCAGCCAGGAUCUGCCAGAGCCGCCAGUCAGCCAGAAUCUGCCAGAGCCGCCAUUCAACCAGGAUCCGCCAGAGCCGCCAUUCAGCCAGGAUCCGCCAGAGCCGCCAGUCAGCCAGGAUCCGCCAGAGCCGCCAGUCAGCCAGGAUCCGCCAGAGCCGCCAGUCAGCCAGGAUCCGCCAGAGCCGCCAGUCAGCCAGGAGCUGCCAGAGCCGUCAGUCAGCCAGGAGCUGCCAGAGCCAUCAGUCACCCAGAAGCUGCCAGAGCCGUCAACCAGCCUGAGCUACCUCUCAGUCCUGAGCUACCUCUCAGUCCUGAGCUACCUCUCAGUCCUGAGCUACC
ensembl:lncRNA